GAAGUGCGAUAAGCAAUGCGAAUUGCAGAAUUCCGCGAAUCAUCAGAUCUUUGAACGCAAAUGGCGCCGGAGGGAUAUCCUUUCGGCAUGUCUGUUUCAGUGUCUGAGAGGUUUCACAUAAAUCUUAAUGUGAUUGAUGGGCACUGUCUCUCUUUCUCUCGUUAGAGGAGAACGCAGCGCUCAUCUCUCAUGAAAGAUGUGUGAGUGGAUCUUUCGGUCCAAUGAAGUGGUCACAUCACUCGUAUGUGAUUUCAUUGGAGAAAUCACCGAAUUAUCCGCAUGCUCACAGUACCUUCUCUCUUUUUUUGUGUGGGUCACACCACAGAAAGAAAGGACCUUCCAUACCCUGCAUCUGAGAUAGGCAAGAUCACCCGCUGAACUUAA
rnacentral:misc_RNA from 1 species